rnacentral:rRNA from 1 species
AACGAACGCUGGCGGCAUGCCUAACACAUGCAAGUCGAACGAGACCUUCGGGUCUAGUGGCGCACGGGUGCGUAACGCGUGGGAACCUGCCCUUAGGUUCGGAAUAACUCCCCGAAAGGGGUGCUAAUACCGGAUAAUGUCUUCGGACCAAAGAUUUAUCGCCUUUGGAUGGGCCCGCGUUGGAUUAGCUAGUUGGUAGGGUAAAAGCCUACCAAGGCGACGAUCCAUAGCUGGUCUGAGAGGAUGAUCAGCCACACUGGGACUGAGACACGGCCCAGACUCCUACGGGAGGCAGCAGGGGGGACUAUUGGACAAUGGGCGAAAGCCUGAUCCAGCAAUGCCGCGUGAGUGAUGAAGGCCUUAGGGUUGUAAAGCUCUUUUACCCGGGAUGAUAAUGACAGUACCGUGAGAAUAAGCUCCGGCUAACUCCGUG